AACUAUAAAAUUCUGUUUUGAAAACAGUUUGUAAGAAUUUUUCUUGUAGUUU
rnacentral:tRNA from 1 species